GUGCUUGCCUCAGCAGCACAUAUACUAAAAUUAGAAUGAUACAGAGAAGAUUAGCAUGGGCCCUGCACAAGGAUGACAUGUAAAUUCAUGAAGUGUUCCAUAUUUAA
rnacentral:snRNA from 1 species